rnacentral:rRNA from 1 species
UCCUGACCGUGCGAAGGUAGCGUAAUCACUUGUCUUUUAAAUGAAGACCUGUAUGAAUGGCAUAACGAGGGUUUAACUGUCUCCUCCUCCCAGUCAAUGAAAUUGAUCUGCCCGUGCAGAAGCGGACAUAAAAACAUAAGACGAGAAGACCCUAUGGAGCUUUAGGCCAAGGACCAAUCAUGUUAAGAGACUACAAAAAUCAACAAGAACAAAAAAGUCAACAAACCAAGUGCAACCUCGUCCAAGUGCCUUCGGUUGGGGCGACCACGGGGAAAAAAGAAACCCCCACAUGGAAUGGGAAUUAUUCCCUUAAACCAAGAAAAACAAUUCUAAGCAACAGAACAUCUGACCAAUAUAUGACCCAGGAAAACACAUCCUGAUCAAUGAACCAAGUUACCCUAGGGAUAACAGCGCAAUCCUUUCCCAGAGCCCAUAUCGACGAAAGGGUUUACGACCUCGAUGUUGGAUCAGGACAUCCUAAUGGUGCAGCCGCUA